rnacentral:rRNA from 1 species
GAUGAACGCUGGCGGCGUGCUUAACACAUGCAAGUCGAACGAGAAGUGCAGACGGAAACCCUCGGGCGGAAGGCAUGAGUUCGAGUGGCGGACGGGGGAGUAACUCGCGGGUAACCUGCCGCAUACAGGGGGAUAACAGUUGGAAACGACAGGUAAUACCGCAUAAGGCCACAGCACCGCAGGGUGCGGUGGUAAAAACUCCGAAGGUCUGGGAUGGACCCGCGUUCGAUUAGCCAGUUGGGGGGGUAAAGGCCCACCAAGGCGACGAUCGAUAGCCGAUCUGAGAGGAUGACCGGCCACACUGGGACUGAGACACGGCCCAGACUCCUACGGGAGGCAGCAGUGGGGAAUAUUGCACAAUGGGCGAAAGCCUGAUGCAGCGACGCCGCGUGAGUGAUGAAGUCUUUCGGGUUGUAAAGCUCUAUCAGCCGGGAAGAUAAUGACGGUACCGGAGUAAUAAGCUCCGGCUAACUCCGUG